rnacentral:rRNA from 1 species
GGUUAAGCGACUAAGCGUACACGGUGGAUGCCCUGGCAGUCAGAGGCGAUGAAGGACGUGCUAAUCUGCGAAAAGCGUCGGUAAGGUGAUAUGAACCGUUAUAACCGGCGAUGUCCGAAUGGGGAAACCCAGUGCAAUUCGUUGCACUAUCGUUAACUGAAUACAUAGGUUAACGAGGCGAACCGGGGGAACUGAAACAUCUAAGUACCCCGAGGAAAAGAAAUCAACCGAGAUUCCCCCAGUAGCGGCGAGCGAACGGGGAGCAGCCCAGAGUCUGAAUCAGCUUGUGUGUUAGUGGAACGGUCUGGAAAGUCCGACGGUACAGGGUGAUAGUCCCGUACACCAAAAUGCACAGGCUGUGAACUCGAAGAGUAGGGCGGGACACGUGGUAUCCUGUCUGAAUAUGGGGGGACCAUCCUCCAAGGCUAAAUACUCCUGACUGACCGAUAGUGAACCAGUACCGUGAGGGAAAGGCGAAAAGAACCCCGGCGAGGGGAGUGAAAAAGAACCUGAAACCGUGUACGUACAAGCAGUGGGAGCACCUUCGGGUGUGACUGCGUACCUUUUGUAUAAUGGGUCAGCGACUUAUAUUCUGUAGCAAGGUUAACCGUAUAGGGGAGCCGCAGGGAAACCGAGUCUUAACUGGGCGUUAAGUUGCAGGGUAUAGACCCGAAACCCGGUGAUCUAGCCAUGGGCAGGUUGAAGGUUGGGUAACACUAACUGGAGGACCGAACCGACUAAUGUUGAAAAAUUAGCGGAUGACUUGUGGCUGGGGGUGAAAGGCCAAUCAAACCGGGAGAUAGCUGGUUCUCCCCGAAAGCUAUUUAGGUAGCGCCUCGUGAAUUCAUCUUCGGGGGUAGAGCACUGUUUCGGCUAGGGGGUCAUCCCGACUUACCAACCCGAUGCAAACUACGAAUACCGAAGAAUGUUAUCACGGGAGACACACGGCGGGUGCUAACGUCCGUCGUGAAGAGGGAAACAACCCAGACCGCCAGCUAAGGUCCCAAAGUCAUGGUUAAGUGGGAAACGAUGUGGGAAGGCACAGACAGCCAGGAUGUUGGCUUAGAAGCAGCCAUCAUUUAAAGAAAGCGUAAUAGCUCACUGGUCGAGUCGGCCUGCGCGGAAGAUGUAACGGGGCUAAACCAUGCACCGAAGCUGCGGCAGCGACGCUUAUGCGUUGUUGGGUAGGGGAGCGUUCUGUAAGCCUGCGAAGGUGACCUGUGAGGGUUGCUGGAGGUAUCAGAAGUGCGAAUGCUGACAUAAGUAACGAUAAAGCGGGUGAAAAGCCCGCUCGCCGGAAGACCAAGGGUUCCUGUCCAACGUUAAUCGGGGCAGGGUGAGUCGACCCCUAAGGCGAGGCCGAAAGGCGUAGUCGAUGGGAAACAGGUUAAUAUUCCUGUACUUGGUGUUACUGCGAAGGGGGGACGGAGAAGGCUAUGUUAGCCGGGCGACGGUUGUCCCGGUUUAAGCAUGUAGGCUGGUUGUCCAGGCAAAUCCGGAUAAUCAAGGCUGAGGUGUGAUGACGAGGCACUACGGUGCUGAAGUAACAAAUGCCCUGCUUCCAGGAAAAGCCUCUAAGCAUCAGGUAACAUUAAAUCGUACCCCAAACCGACACAGGUGGUCAGGUAGAGAAUACCAAGGCGCUUGAGAGAACUCGGGUGAAGGAACUAGGCAAAAUGGUGCCGUAACUUCGGGAGAAGGCACGCUGGUGUGUAGGUGAAGUCCCUGCGGAUGGAGCUGAGACCAGUCGAAGAUACCAGCUGGCUGCAACUGUUUAUUAAAAACACAGCACUGUGCAAACACGAAAGUGGACGUAUACGGUGUGACGCCUGCCCGGUGCCGGAAGGUUAAUUGAUGGGGUUAUCCGUAAGGAGAAGCUCUUGAUCGAAGCCCCGGUAAACGGCGGCCGUAACUAUAACGGUCCUAAGGUAGCGAAAUUCCUUGUCGGGUAAGUUCCGACCUGCACGAAUGGCGUAAUGAUGGCCAGGCUGUCUCCACCCGAGACUCAGUGAAAUUGAACUCGCUGUGAAGAUGCAGUGUACCCGCGGCAAGACGGAAAGACCCCGUGAACCUUUACUAUAGCUUGACACUGAACAUUGAGCCUUGAUGUGUAGGAUAGGUGGGAGGCUUUGAAGCGUGGACGCCAGUCUGCGUGGAGCCAACCUUGAAAUACCACCCUUUAAUGUUUGAUGUUCUAACGUUGGCCCCUUACCGGGGUUGCGGACAGUGUCUGGUGGGUAGUUUGACUGGGGCGGUCUCCUCCCAAAGCGUAACGGAGGAGCACGAAGGUUAGCUAAUCCUGGUCGGACAUCAGGAGGUUAGUGCAAUGGCAUAAGCUAGCUUGACUGCGAGCGUGACGGCGCGAGCAGGUGCGAAAGCAGGUCAUAGUGAUCCGGUGGUUCUGAAUGGAAGGGCCAUCGCUCAACGGAUAAAAGGUACUCCGGGGAUAACAGGCUGAUACCGCCCAAGAGUUCAUAUCGACGGCGGUGUUUGGCACCUCGAUGUCGGCUCAUCACAUCCUGGGGCUGAAGUAGGUCCCAAGGGUAUGGCUGUUCGCCAUUUAAAGUGGUACGCGAGCUGGGUUUAGAACGUCGUGAGACAGUUCGGUCCCUAUCUGCCGUGGGCGCUGGAGAAUUGAGGGGGGCUGCUCCUAGUACGAGAGGACCGGAGUGGACGCAUCACUGGUGUUCGGGUUGUCAUGCCAAUGGCACUGCCCGGUAGCUAAAUGCGGAAGAGAUAAGUGCUGAAAGCAUCUAAGCACGAAACUUGCCCCGAGAUGAGUUCUCCCUGAGACUUUAAGUCUCCUGAAGGAACGUUAAAGACGAUGACGUUGAUAGGCCGGGUGUGUAAGCGCAGCGAUGCGUUGAGCUAACCGGUACUAAUGAACCGUGAGGCUUAACCUU